rnacentral:rRNA from 1 species
AUGGGAAAGAAAGGCCGCCUGCGGCGACGCCGCCAGCCGCCAGCCGGCAUCAGCCCCACCACAUCGUCGUCGACGUCGCCGCCGCCAGCGCCUGCAUCCUCCUCAAGAGAGUUUGCCAUGACGCAAAGCCCGAGCAAAUUGUCUGACCCAUCUGUCUCUACUCCCCCAGGAGUGUUGAGGCACCAAGGUUGGGCUGACCUCCCAGAUAAACUGCUUCACUCCAUUGUUCCUCUGUUGGGAUCUUUCCUCGACCUUAUUGUGUUUGCUAGCACCUGUGGUUCUUGGCGUGCUGCCUUCUCUUCGUACCCAUCCAAAUCGACCAUCUGCACCAAACUCCCACCUCUCCUCGUUCGACCCAAUGUCUGUGUCCAAGCCCCUCAUCUCCCUUCCAGCAAUGGUCGUCACAAGCUACGCACAUGUAAGGUCAUUGAUCUAGCCAACCAGAACAGAGCCCUUCGCUGCCAGAUUCCUCAAGAAACUUUUCAGAGAAUGCGUUUUGCUGGCUCUUCCUAUGGGCAACUCAUCUGCUGCCGCCGAGGAAAUUGUCUUGUUGUUGAUGUGUUCACUGGUGCCGAGGUUUCACCUCCAUGUCUCCCAUUCAGUGGUGACUGUGAGCAGGAGUUCUACUUUGGUGGCACCCUGACAGCUCCCCUUGCAUCACCCAACUGCCAUCUCCUUGUCAGCAUACGUUCCUCCCUGUUUGAUUGGCCGGUUGGAAGUGACUCUUGGUCUGAACUCAAGCUUUCUGAUGCACGGAUAGAUCAGAUUGUGGAAUUCAAUGGUCACUUCAUCGCCAUAGAUUAUUCCCAGAGGAUCUACAUUCUGAAGUUAGCCCCCCAGCUUGGCCUGCAGGAGAUAACAACCGAGUGGUGGGACGACAUGACUGAAUGCCCAUAUCUAAGACCAGGGCUGGUGGUCUGCGGUGAUAUGCUUCUCAUGGUUGACCAUUACAUGAGCUUAUCAUUUGGAGCACCAGUCUUGUAUAAACCCUACCGCCUGGAUAUGUCAACCAGACCUGCAAAAUGGGUGGAGGUGAAGAAGCUGGACAAUUGGGCACUCUUUGUAGGGGGUGAUGUGAGGAGUCCACCGUUUUCUUGCUUGACCCCAGAGAAGUGGGGAGGGAGGAGCAACUGCCUAUACUACGCCCAUUACUCUCAGCCUUGGAGUGUACAUGGAUUAGGUGAUGAGGCAGAUGCUGUGUGGGAUCCUUCCACCGACCCUGAUCUUGUGUACAAGAGAAACUGGUACGGCCAGCUGCAGGCCUUCUGGGUGUAUCCAAGCAUGUUCUAUUCCGAUGCUCCAGUAGUGACUGGGCACCAAGACUGGGCUGACCUCCCAGAUAACCUGCUUCAUUCCAUUGUUCCUCUGUUGGGAUCCUUUCUCGACCUUAUUGCGUUUGCUAGCACCUGUCGUUCUUGGCGUGCCGCCUUCUCUUCAUACCCAUCCAAAUCAACUUUCUGCACCAAACUUCCGCCUCUCCUCGUCCGACCCAAUGUCCGUGUCCAAGCCCCUCAUCUACCUUCCAGAAAUGGUCGUCACAAGCUACGCACAUGUAAGGUCAUUGAUCUAGCCAACCAGAACAUACCCCUUCGCUGCCAGAUUCCUCAAGAAACUUUUCAGAGGAUGCGCUUUGCUGGUUCUUCAUAUGGGCAUCUCAUCUGCUGCCGCCAAGGAAAUUGUCUUAUUGUUGAUGUGUUCACUGGUGCUGAGGUUUCACCUCCAUGUCUGCCAUUCAGUGGCGACUGUGAGGAGGAGUUCUACUUUGGUGGCACCCUGACAGCUCCCCUUGCAUCACCCAACUGCCAUCUCCUUGUUAGCACCCGAUCCUCCCUGUUUGAUUGGCCGGUUGGAAGUGACUCUUGGUCUGAACUCAAGCUUUCUGAUGCAAGGGUAGAUCAGAUCGUGGAAUUCGAUGGUCAGCUCAUCGCCAUGGAUUAUUUUCAGAGGAUAUACAUUCUGAAGUUAGCCCCUGAGCUUGGCCUGCAGGAGAUAACUACCGAGUGGUGGGACGGCAUGACUGAGUGCCCAUAUCUAAGACCAUGGCUGGUGGUUUGCGGUGAUAUGCUUCUCAUGGUUGACCAUUACGUGAGCCUAUCAUUUGGAGCACCAGUCUUGUAUAAACCCUACCGCCUUGAUAUGUCGACCAGACCUGCAAAAUGGGUGGAGGUGAAAAAGCUGGACAACUGGGCACUCUUUGUAGGGGCUGAUGUGAGGAGCCCGCCGUUUUCUUGCUUGAGCCCAGAGAAGUGGGGAGGAACGAGCAACCGCCUGUACUAUGCCCAUUACUCUCAGCCUUGGAGCGUACAUGGCUUUGGUGACGCGGCAGAUGCUGUGUGGGAUCCUUCCACCGACCCUGAUCUUGUGUACAAGAGAAACUGGUACGGCCAGCUUCAGGCCUUCUGGGUGUAUCCAAGCAUGUUCUACUCUGAUGGCCAGUGA